rnacentral:rRNA from 2 species
NNNNNNNNNNNNNNNNNNNCCGGCGAUGUCCGAAUGGGGAAACCCAGUGCAAUUCGUUGCACUAUCGUUAACUGAAUACAUAGGUUAACGAGGCGAACCGGGGGAACUGAAACAUCUAAGUACCCCGAGGAAAAGAAAUCAACCGAGAUUCCCCCAGUAGCGGCGAGCGAACGGGGAGCAGCCCAGAGUCUGAAUCAGCUUGUGUGUUAGUGGAACGGUCUGGAAAGUCCGACGGUACAGGGUGAUAGUCCCGUACACCAAAAUGCACAGGCUGUGAACUCGAAGAGUAGGGCGGGACACGUGGUAUCCUGUCUGAAUAUGGGGGGACCAUCCUCCAAGGCUAAAUACUCCUGACUGACCGAUAGUGAACCAGUACCGUGAGGGAAAGGCGAAAAGAACCCCGGCGAGGGGAGUGAAAAAGAACCUGAAACCGUGUACGUACAAGCAGUGGGAGCACCUUNGGUGUGACUGCGUACCUUUUGUAUAAUGGGUCAGCGACUUAUAUUCUGUAGCAAGGUUAACCGUAUAGGGGAGCCGCAGGGAAACCGAGUCUUAACUGGGCGUUAAGUUGCAGGGUAUAGACCCGAAACCCGGUGAUCUAGCCAUGGGCAGGUUGAAGGUUGGGUAACACUAACUGGAGGACCGAACCGACUAAUGUUGAAAAAUUAGCGGAUGACUUGUGGCUGGGGGUGAAAGGCCAAUCAAACCGGGAGAUAGCUGGUUCUCCCCGAAAGCUAUUUAGGUAGCGCCUCGUGAACUCAUCUUCGGGGGUAGAGCACUGUUUCGGCUAGGGGGUCAUCCCGACUUACCAACCCGAUGCAAACUACGAAUACCGAAGAAUGUUAUCACGGGAGACACACGGCGGGUGCUAACGUCCGUCGUGAAGAGGGAAACAACCCAGACCGCCAGCUAAGGUCCCAAAGUCAUGGUUAAGUGGGAAACGAUGUGGGAAGGCACAGACAGCCAGGAUGUUGGCUUAGAAGCAGCCAUCAUUUAAAGAAAGCGUAAUAGCUCACUGGUCGAGUCGGCCUGCGCGGAAGAUGUAACGGGGCUAAACCAUGCACCGAAGCUGCGGCAGCGACACGAUGUGUUGUUGGGUAGGGGAGCGUUCUGUAAGCCUGCGAAGGUGACCUGUGAGGGUUGCUGGAGGUAUCAGAAGUGCGAAUGCUGACAUAAGUAACGAUAAAGCGGGUGAAAAGCCCGCUCGCCGGAAGACCAAGGGUUCCUGUCCAACGUUAAUCGGGGCAGGGUGAGUCGACCCCUAAGGCGAGGCCGAAAGGCGUAGUCGAUGGGAAACAGGUUAAUAUUCCUGUACUUGGUGUUACUGCGAAGGGGGGACGGAGAAGGCUAUGUUAGCCGGGCGACGGUUGUCCCGGUUUAAGCAUGUAGGCUGGUUAUCCAGGCAAAUCCGGAUAAUCAAGGCUGAGGUGUGAUGACGAGGCACUACGGUGCUGAAGUAACAAAUGCCCUGCUUCCAGGAAAAGCCUCUAAGCAUCAGGUAACAUCAAAUCGUACCCCAAACCGACACAGGUGGUCAGGUAGAGAAUACCAAGGCGCUUGAGAGAACUCGGGUGAAGGAACUAGGCAAAAUGGUGCCGUAACUUCGGGAGAAGGCACGCUGGUGUGUAGGUGAAGUCCCUGCGGAUGGAGCUGAGACCAGUCGAAGAUACCAGCUGGCUGCAACUGUUUAUUAAAAACACAGCACUGUGCAAACACGAAAGUGGACGUAUACGGUGUGACGCCUGCCCGGUGCCGGAAGGUUAAUUGAUGGGGUUAUCCGUAAGGAGAAGCUCUUGAUCGAAGCCCCGGUAAACGGCGGCCGUAACUAUAACGGUCCUAAGGUAGCGAAAUUCCUUGUCGGGUAAGUUCCGACCUGCACGAAUGGCGUAAUGAUGGCCAGGCUGUCUCCACCCGAGACUCAGUGAAAUUGAACUCGCUGUGAAGAUGCAGUGUACCCGCGGCAAGACGGAAAGACCCCGUGAACCUUUACUAUAGCUUGACACUGAACAUUGAGCCUUGAUGUGUAGGAUAGGUGGGAGGCUUUGAAGCGUGGACGCCAGUCUGCGUGGAGCCAACCUUGAAAUACCACCCUUUAAUGUUUGAUGUUCUAACGUUGGCCCCUUACCGGGGUUGCGGACAGUGUCUGGUGGGUAGUUUGACUGGGGCGGUCUCCUCCCAAAGCGUAACGGAGGAGCACGAAGGUUAGCUAAUCCUGGUCGGACAUCAGGAGGUUAGUGCAAUGGCAUAAGCUAGCUUGACUGCGAGCGUGACGGCGCGAGCAGGUGCGAAAGCAGGUCAUAGUGAUCCGGUGGUUCUGAAUGGAAGGGCCAUCGCUCAACGGAUAAAAGGUACUCCGGGGAUAACAGGCUGAUACCGCCCAAGAGUUCAUAUCGACGGCGGUGUUUGGCACCUCGAUGUCGGCUCAUCACAUCCUGGGGCUGAAGUAGGUCCCAAGGGUAUGGCUGUUCGCCAUUUAAAGUGGUACGCGAGCUGGGUUUAGAACGUCGUGAGACAGUUCGGUCCCUAUCUGCCGUGGGCGCUGGAGAAUUGAGGGGGGCUGCUCCUAGUACGAGAGGACCGGAGUGGACGCAUCACUGGUGUUCGGGUUGUCAUGCCAAUGGCACUGCCCGGUAGCUAAAUGCGGAAGAGAUAAGUGCUGAAAGCAUCUAAGCACGAAACUUGCCCCGAGAUGAGUUCUCCCUGAGACUUUAAGUCUCCUGAAGGAACGUUNGACGUUGAUAGGCCGGGUGUGUAAGCGCAGCGAUGCGUUGAGCUAACCGGUACUAAUGAACCGUGAGGCUUAACCUU